UGGGGAAUUUUGGACAAUGGGGGAAACCCUGAUCCAGCCAUCCCGCGUGUGCGAUGAAGGCCUUCGGGUUGUAAAGCACUUUUGGCAGGAAAGAAACGUCAUGGGUUAAUACCCCGUGAAACUGACGGUACCUGCAGAAUAAGCACCGGCUAACUACGUGCCAGCAGCCGCGGUAAUACGUAGGGUGCAAGCGUUAAUCGGAAUUACUGGGCGUAAAGCGUGCGCAGGCGGUUCGGAAAGAAAGAUGUGAAAUCCCAGAGCUCAACUUUGGAACUGCAUUUUUAACUACCGGGCUAGAGUGUGUCAGAGGGAGGUGGAAUUCCGCGUGUAGCAGUGAGAUGCGUAGAUAUGCGGAGGAACACCGAUGGCGAAGGCAGCCUCCUGGGAUAACACUGACGAUCAUGCACGAAAGCGUGGGGAGCAAACAGG
rnacentral:rRNA from 1 species